AGGGUUUGAUCAUGGCUCAGGAUGAACGCUAGCGGCAGGCUUAACACAUGCAAGUCGAGGGGUAGAUUUUCUUCGGAGAAUUGAGACCGGCGCACGGGUGCGUAACGCGUAUGCAACUUACCUUAUACUGGGGGAUAGCCCGGAGAAAUUCGGAUUAAUACCGCAUAUGCUCACAGUUUCGCAUGGAACAGUGAGGAAAGAUUUAUCGGUAUAAGAUAGGCAUGCGUCCUAUUAGCUUGUUGGUGAGGUAACGGCUCACCAAGGCGAUGAUAGGUAGGGGGCCUGAGAGGGUGGUCCCCCACACUGGUACUGAGACACGGACCAGACUCCUACGGGAGGCAGCAGUGAGGAAUAUUGGGCAAUGGAGGCAACUCUGACCCAGCUAUGCCGCGUGAAGGGAUGAAGGUCCUCUGGAUUGUAAACUUCUUUUGUAUGGGGAUAAACUUUUCUACGUGUAGAAAACUGAAGGUACCAUACGAAUAAGGAUCGGCUAACUCCGUGCCAGCAGCCGCGGUAAUACGGAGGAUCCAAGCGUUAUCCGGAUUUCUUGGGUUUAAAGGGUCC
rnacentral:rRNA from 1 species